GCGCAUGCGGCCGAGUGCGGGACUGGGGCUCCUGGCUGUGGGUGUGGUACCGAGGCUUCAGCGGGUGCCGCCCGCCUAGAGGGAGUGGAGCGGGAGACAGGAGACAUCAAUAUAUGUAAGAUGAACGUUGGUUCCCUCGGGAAAGGCGGGACAACUCGAAGCAGGGAGGGGGCUUCCAGGUCACAGAGAGCCUACGACUAGAUUUGCAUCUUUACGUCCUGCGCGGAGGCUGCUACACACAUGCAGAAGUCAUGCUGGUGGCCUGGACAGUGAAGGGAGAGAAGUGGAUUUGGGAGACAUUUAGGAGAUGGCACCAAAAGCGAAGGAAGCUCCUGCUCAUCCUAAAGCCGAAGCCAAAGCGAAGGCUUUAAAGGCCAAGAAGGCAGUGUUGAAAGGUGUCCGCAGCCACACGCAAAAAAGAAGAUCCGCAUGUCACUCACCUUCAGGCGGCCCAAGACACUGCGACUCCGGAGGCAGCCCAGAUAUCCUCGGAAGAGCACCCCCAGGAGAAACAAGCUUGGCCACUAUGCUAUCAUCAAGUUUCCGCUGGCCACUGAGUCGGCCGUGAAGAAGAUAGAAGAAAACAACACGCUUGUGUUCACUGUGGAUGUUAAAGCCAACAAGCACCAGAUCAGACAGGCUGUGAAGAAGCUCUAUGACAGUGAUGUGGCCAAGGUCACCACCCUGAUUUGUCCUGAUAAGGAGAACAAGGCAUAUGUUCGACUUGCUCCUGAUUAUGAUGCUUUCGAUGUUGUAACAAAAUUGGGAUCACCUAAACUGAGUCCAGCUGGCUAACUCUAAAUAUAUGUGUAUCUUUUCAGCAUAAAAAAAUAAUGUUUUUCAUAAGAAUGACAACUUAAUUAGAAUCAAAUCUAUAAGCUUUAAGAUUUUACGUUUCUAGUAAGUAUAAUAUUAGCUUAUUUGACUAGAACUCAAGCAGAAUAGGAAUUUAUGCUUGUUUUAUAUUCAAUAAUGAUAAUUUUGAAGAUAUAGUUGUUUUAUUACACCAAAAAUACUAUAUUAAUCUUAUUUAACUAAGUUUUAUCCAAAUCAUGUUAACUUAAGAAACAUUUGAUCAGUUCCUAUAUUUCUAGGAGUUUGGUGAAUAUUUAUUUAUAAAUGCUUAUUUUUUUC
ensembl:lncRNA RPL23AP7 ribosomal protein L23a pseudogene 7